rnacentral:rRNA from 1 species
UACAGAGGUCCCAAGCGUUGUUCGGAUUCACUGGGCGUAAAGGGUGCGCAGGUGGUCGGGUAAGUCUGACGUGAAAUCCCGCAGCUUAACUGCGGAAUGGCAUUGGAUACUAUUCGGCUAGAGGGUUGGAGGGGGGACUGGAAUUCUCGGUGUAGCAGUGAAAUGCGUAGAUAUCGAGAGGAACACCUGCGGCGAAGGCGGGUUGCUGGGCCGACACUGACGCUGAUGCGCGAAAGCGUGGGGAGCGAACAGG